CAGCAUGGCACUAGAGUGUACUAUGGUAUUUAUACGCACACAGAUAAUCCGCAAGCGCACAGAUACCGUUGAAGCUUUUACCCGAUUAAAGGUUUAAUCGUAUCCACAGGGAAAUGAGAGAACCAACUACGCUCUAACUUAACCAAGAUAGAUAGAUAGGUGUAAUAGGAAAGAUGGUAGAAUCGAAUAAGAACAAUACUAAAGGUAAGAUAAUAGUGAGUGAUAAUAUGAGAAUAGAGAAUAGAGCAAUUCUAGUAUAUGGGCGAUGGUAGCAGAAUAGAGAGGGUAACUAUAGUUUCUCUACUUCAAAGGGGUAUGUCUAUGUCUAGGGCGAACCAUGUGAUAAGAGUACACCACAAAGGAUGCUUAUCCUUAGGCCGAUAAACCCUACCCGUCCUGCUAAUGAGAGGUGGACUACAGUGGACCAAGGUAACUGUCACCUACGCGGCCUACCACACGAUCCAGCUAGACAGGGUAUAUCCACAAGUAAUCUAGAUCUAAGCACCUCGCUUACACCUAUACUACAACUCUCACCUAUAGCGUCCUAUAGAUUAGAAUACUCAAAAGUGUUGUGAACCAGAACAUACAUAAUUAGUAAUUGCAUAAUGAAUUAGAAGUAGAUUACCAGAGUCAUCCCAUGAGCAAGCUUGAUUAGAGCUUGAUCAUGACGAAGUACAACCGGAGGAAGAACCGACAGGCCGGCCUCUCCUCUAGUCCUCCUUUGCUCUCCAUCUUGCUACUAUCU
rnacentral:lncRNA from 1 species